rnacentral:rRNA from 1 species
GUGGGGAAUAUUGGACAAUGGGCGAAAGCCUGAUCCAGCCAUGCCGCGUGUGUGAAGAAGGUCUUCGGAUUGUAAAGCACUUUAAGUUGGGAGGAAGGGCAGUAAGUUAAUACCUUGCUGUUUUGACGUUACCGACAGAAUAAGCACCGGCUAACUUCGUGCCAGCAGCCGCGGUAAUACGAAGGGUGCAAGCGUUAAUCGGAAUUACUGGGCGUAAAGCGCGCGUAGGUGGUUCAGCAAGUUGGAGGUGAAAUCCCCGGGCUCAACCUGGGAACUGCCUCCAAAACUACAGGGCUAGAGUACGGUGGAGGGUAGUGGAAUUUCCUGUGUAGCGGUGAAAUGCGUAGAUAUAGGAAGGAACACCAGUGGCGAAGGCGACUACCUGGACUGAUACUGACACUGAGGUGCGAAAGCGUGGGGAGCAAACAGGAUUAGAAACCCGAGUAGUCC